rnacentral:rRNA from 1 species
UAGAUUCACUUUAUUGACAAGGAGGCCCUUUUUUUCCAAGUGGCGUAGGGGGGUGGGCGUGCGGCCGCGAACGUAGCGGGGGUGCCGAGGCGGAGCGAACCGUGGCCGGGUGGAGCGGCGGCCGGGAGGGGGAGUGGAAGAGGGUGGAACGUCGCGGCCGCACACGGUCUAGGCGGACGUAGGGGGUCGGUUGGUAGGGAGAGUGUAGAGUAGAGAGAGAGGUACGCCGAGGAGCGACGCGAUGGACGGCGCCGACUAGGUUUGCUGCAGGCCGCUUAGGGGUGGUGGUGCUUCGUGGCGAGCUCCGGGGGAGCGUGAGCACCGCGGGAGAGUAUGCUGAUCUAGGCCGCGAGCGCCGGUCAUUUCGAGUGGCCGCUGGGAGGAGGGUACCGAUCCCAAAGCCCGUAGAUGAGGCCGCGGCCACCGGUUCAACGGGAGGAGAGCAGGCUGCACCUCCCUCCAUGACACCUGUCGGAAGGACGACGAGCCCUGCUUCAUCGGUACCUCGAAGGAGGAGGAGGAGACCGAAGUCGUAGUACAGCUAUACCGUGACACUUUUAACUUCUAAACCAUACCUCAGCGUUUUUGACGUUAUGAGAGCCAUUACGUCUUUUUUGUUUCUAAAGUACCAGAAGUUGGAAAUAAGUUUUCUAUGUACCUACUAAUAUACCCACACACCGUUCAUAUGACGUUACUACUACUACAAAGCCAAGUAGUACUACUACUACCUACGAAAGUCAAAUCAAUUCAACAUCCUUAAAACAAGGACAACCUACUACAAAGAGUCAAUUCCAAAUCAAUUCAACAUCUCUGUUGAACAAGUGUUCCUCACACGAAGGAAGAUGUCUCUGUCGACCAUGUGUACCUCCAACCCAAGCAAUGAGCACCACCGUUUUUUCUACCGUGGAUGGAACAUAGAACAACCGGUUCCCAUCCUUCCCUGUGAAACGUCUACCUUCCCCCACAACAUCCCGUCAAUGAGAUUUCCUUACUUACCUUUUUCCGUCUCCACAAAUAGUAGCUUUUGAUUUGAACGUACAUGGGUAGAAUACACUUAUUCGUACAUUGGUCGAAUAUAGCUAUAAAAGUAACAUUACCUCUGUAUUCUGUGUUCACUGUACAAUUUGAGUUUAUUAUAAAAAUAAUCAUAGAGUU